UGCCAGCCGCCGCGGUAAUACGGAGGGGGUUAGCGUUGUUCGGAAUUACUGGGCGUAAAGCGCGCGUAGGCGGACUUUUAAGUCAGAUGUGAAAUCCCGGGGCUCAACCUCGGAACUGCAUUUGAAACUGGAAGUCUGGAGUUCAGGAGAGGUUAGCGGAAUACCGAGUGUAGAGGUGAAAUUCGUAGAUAUUCGGUGGAACACCAGUGGCGAAGGCGACUUCCUGGACUAUUACUGACACUGAGGAGCGAAAGCGUGGGGAGCAAACAGGAUUAGAUA
rnacentral:rRNA from 1 species